rnacentral:rRNA from 1 species
GUGCCAGCAGCCGCGCCCAUACGUAGGUGACAAGCGUUGUCCGGAUUUAUUGGGCGUAAAGCGAGCGCAGGCGGUCCGGUAAGUCUGAUGUGAAAGCCCACGGCUCAACCGUGGAACGCAUUGGAAACUGGCGGACUUGAAUGUAGCAGAGGAAAGUGGAAUUCCAUGUGUAGCGGUGGAAUGCGUAGAUAUAUGGAGGAACACCAGUGGCGAAAGCGACUUUCUGGGCUAUGAUUGACGCUGAGGCUCGAAAGCGUGGGGAGCGAACAGGAUUAGAUACCCUGGUAGUCCACGCCGUAAACGAUGAGUGCUAAGUGUUGGAGGGUUUCCGCCCUUCAGUGCUGGAGUUAACGCAUUAAGCACUCCGCCUGGGGAUUACGACCGCAAGKUGAAACUCAAAAGAAUUGACGGGGACCCGCACAAGCGGUGGAGCAUGUGGUUUAAUUCGAAGCAACGCGAAGAACCUUACCAGCUCUUGACAUCUUCUGCCACCUUCAGAGAUGAAGGGUUCCUUCGGGGACAGAAUGACAGGUGGUGCAUGGUUGUCGUCAGCUCGUGUCGUGAGAUGUUGGGUUAAGUCCCGUAACGAGCGCAACCCUUAUUGUUAGUUGCCAGCAUUGAGUUGGGCACUCUAGCAAGACUGCCGGUGAUAAACCGGAGGAAGGCGGGGAUGACGUCAAAUCAUCAUGCCCCUUAUGAGCUGGGCUACACACGUGCUACAAUGGAUGGUACAACGAGUAGCGAGACCGCGAGGUUUAGCUAAUCUCCCAAAGCCAUUCUCAGUUCGGAUUGCAGGCUGCAACUCGCCUGCAUGAAGUCGGAAUCGCUAGUAAUCGCGGAUCAGAAUGCCGCGGUGAAUUCGUUCCCGGGUCUGGCACUCACCGCCCGUC